rnacentral:rRNA from 1 species
UACGGGGGGGAGCAAGCGUUGUUCGGAUUUACUGGGCGUAAAGAGCGCGUAGGCGGUCCGGUAAGUCGGUUGUGAAAACUGGGGGGCUCAACCCUCAGAGGCCGACCGAUACUGCCGGGCUAGAGUCCGGAAGAGGCGAGUGGAAUUCCUGGUGUAGCGGUGAAAUGCGCAGAUAUCAGGAGGAACACCAAUGGCGAAGGCAGCUCGCUGGGACGGUACUGACGCUGAGGCGCGAAAGCGUGGGGAGCAAACAGG